GGCGCAGGUCACAGGACCGUCCAGUUCGUCCUUACAAGGAGGGGGUCGGGGGUUCGAGUCCCUCCGCGCCC
rnacentral:tRNA from 1 species